rnacentral:rRNA from 1 species
GGUUAAGCGACUAAGCGUACACGGUGGAUGCCCUGGCAGUCAGAGGCGAUGAAGGACGUGCUAAUCUGCGAUAAGCGUCGGUAAGGUGAUAUGAACCGUUAUAACCGGCGAUUUCCGAAUGGGGAAACCCAGUGUGUUUCGACACACUAUCAUUAACUGAAUCCAUAGGUUAAUGAGGCGAACCGGGGGAACUGAAACAUCUAAGUACCCCGAGGAAAAGAAAUCAACCGAGAUUCCCCCAGUAGCGGCGAGCGAACGGGGAGCAGCCCAGAGCCUGAAUCAGUGUGUGUGUUAGUGGAAGCGUCUGGAAAGGCGCGCGAUACAGGGUGACAGCCCCGUACACAAAAAUGCACAUGCUGUGAGCUCGAUGAGUAGGGCGGGACACGUGGUAUCCUGUCUGAAUAUGGGGGGACCAUCCUCCAAGGCUAAAUACUCCUGACUGACCGAUAGUGAACCAGUACCGUGAGGGAAAGGCGAAAAGAACCCCGGCGAGGGGAGUGAAAAAGAACCUGAAACCGUGUACGUACAAGCAGUGGGAGCACGCUUAGGCGUGUGACUGCGUACCUUUUGUAUAAUGGGUCAGCGACUUAUAUUCUGUAGCAAGGUUAACCGAAUAGGGGAGCCGAAGGGAAACCGAGUCUUAACUGGGCGUUAAGUUGCAGGGUAUAGACCCGAAACCCGGUGAUCUAGCCAUGGGCAGGUUGAAGGUUGGGUAACACUAACUGGAGGACCGAACCGACUAAUGUUGAAAAAUUAGCGGAUGACUUGUGGCUGGGGGUGAAAGGCCAAUCAAACCGGGAGAUAGCUGGUUCUCCCCGAAAGCUAUUUAGGUAGCGCCUCGUGAAUUCAUCUCCGGGGGUAGAGCACUGUUUCGGCAAGGGGGUCAUCCCGACUUACCAACCCGAUGCAAACUGCGAAUACCGGAGAAUGUUAUCACGGGAGACACACGGCGGGUGCUAACGUCCGUCGUGAAGAGGGAAACAACCCAGACCGCCAGCUAAGGUCCCAAAGUCAUGGUUAAGUGGGAAACGAUGUGGGAAGGCCCAGACAGCCAGGAUGUUGGCUUAGAAGCAGCCAUCAUUUAAAGAAAGCGUAAUAGCUCACUGGUCGAGUCGGCCUGCGCGGAAGAUGUAACGGGGCUAAACCAUGCACCGAAGCUGCGGCAGCGACACUAUGUGUUGUUGGGUAGGGGAGCGUUCUGUAAGCCUGUGAAGGUGUGCUGUGAGGCAUGCUGGAGGUAUCAGAAGUGCGAAUGCUGACAUAAGUAACGAUAAAGCGGGUGAAAAGCCCGCUCGCCGGAAGACCAAGGGUUCCUGUCCAACGUUAAUCGGGGCAGGGUGAGUCGACCCCUAAGGCGAGGCCGAAAGGCGUAGUCGAUGGGAAACAGGUUAAUAUUCCUGUACUUGGUGUUACUGCGAAGGGGGGACGGAGAAGGCUAUGUUGGCCGGGCGACGGUUGUCCCGGUUUAAGCGUGUAGGCUGGUUUUCCAGGCAAAUCCGGAAAAUCAAGGCUGAGGCGUGAUGACGAGGCACUACGGUGCUGAAGCAACAAAUGCCCUGCUUCCAGGAAAAGCCUCUAAGCAUCAGGUAACAUCAAAUCGUACCCCAAACCGACACAGGUGGUCAGGUAGAGAAUACCAAGGCGCUUGAGAGAACUCGGGUGAAGGAACUAGGCAAAAUGGUGCCGUAACUUCGGGAGAAGGCACGCUGAUAUGUAGGUGAAGUCCCUCGCGGAUGGAGCUGAAAUCAGUCGAAGAUACCAGCUGGCUGCAACUGUUUAUUAAAAACACAGCACUGUGCAAACACGAAAGUGGACGUAUACGGUGUGACGCCUGCCCGGUGCCGGAAGGUUAAUUGAUGGGGUUAGCGCAAGCGAAGCUCUUGAUCGAAGCCCCGGUAAACGGCGGCCGUAACUAUAACGGUCCUAAGGUAGCGAAAUUCCUUGUCGGGUAAGUUCCGACCUGCACGAAUGGCGUAAUGAUGGCCAGGCUGUCUCCACCCGAGACUCAGUGAAAUUGAACUCGCUGUGAAGAUGCAGUGUACCCGCGGCAAGACGGAAAGACCCCGUGAACCUUUACUAUAGCUUGACACUGAACAUUGAGCCUUGAUGUGUAGGAUAGGUGGGAGGCUUUGAAGUGUGGACGCCAGUCUGCAUGGAGCCGACCUUGAAAUACCACCCUUUAAUGUUUGAUGUUCUAACGUUGACCCGUAAUCCGGGUUGCGGACAGUGUCUGGUGGGUAGUUUGACUGGGGCGGUCUCCUCCUAAAGAGUAACGGAGGAGCACGAAGGUUGGCUAAUCCUGGUCGGACAUCAGGAGGUUAGUGCAAUGGCAUAAGCCAGCUUGACUGCGAGCGUGACGGCGCGAGCAGGUGCGAAAGCAGGUCAUAGUGAUCCGGUGGUUCUGAAUGGAAGGGCCAUCGCUCAACGGAUAAAAGGUACUCCGGGGAUAACAGGCUGAUACCGCCCAAGAGUUCAUAUCGACGGCGGUGUUUGGCACCUCGAUGUCGGCUCAUCACAUCCUGGGGCUGAAGUAGGUCCCAAGGGUAUGGCUGUUCGCCAUUUAAAGUGGUACGCGAGCUGGGUUUAGAACGUCGUGAGACAGUUCGGUCCCUAUCUGCCGUGGGCGCUGGAGAACUGAGGGGGGCUGCUCCUAGUACGAGAGGACCGGAGUGGACGCAUCACUGGUGUUCGGGUUGUCAUGCCAAUGGCACUGCCCGGUAGCUAAAUGCGGAAGAGAUAAGUGCUGAAAGCAUCUAAGCACGAAACUUGCCCCGAGAUGAGUUCUCCCUGACCCUUUAAGGGUCCUGAAGGAACGUUGAAGACGACGACGUUGAUAGGCCGGGUGUGUAAGCGCAGCGAUGCGUUGAGCUAACCGGUACUAAUGAACCGUGAGGCUUAACCUU